rnacentral:misc_RNA from 1 species
GAAACGCGAUAGGUAGUGUGAAUUGCAGAAUCCGUGAAUCAUCGAAUCUUUGAACGCACAUUGCGCCUCUUGGUAUUCCAGGAGGCAUGCCUGUCUGAGCGUCAGUGGACUCUCUUGAGAAGAUUCUUCUGUGGAAGCUUCCCAGGGUGCUGGAGGUGGGACGCGUCCCUCCUCUGAAAGCGAAUGGCCGACAGGGUUUGCUGCGGUGUGAUAGUAUAUUCGCCGAGGCAAGCCGCCUGUGUCUGGCCGACUUCCUAAACGCACAAUUUGACCUCAGAUCAGGCAAGGAUACCCGCUGAACUUAA